GCCUUGGAGCGCGCGCAUGCGCGAGAGCUCCUGCUGCUGAAGGGGUGAGGCGCACCAUGGCGGUCGGCUGUGCUCGGAGCGCAGCGGGGUCAGGAUGGACCGGGACGUGUUGCACCCUGCAGAGCCUCAUCUUCGGCGAGAGCGAGGUGGGCAAGUCCAGGUUCACCUGCUUCCAGGCGGGCAGAGCGUGGUAUUCAUCUCGUGUCAUGUCUAGUGCAAACUGGAACAUUGGGAGAAACACCAGUGGCUCAGUGAAAGGACUCUCAGCUGUGUGUGUUGUUUUAGUCCCAUCCCCAUCCCAGUGGAAGAACUGCUUACCUCGAAGUCUUCAUCGGUGAGAUAGAUCUCAAGCUUCAGAGGAUCGACCCCCUCCGGGAGCGGCCUGGCCAGGAGGUCGGCCAGCGGCAGGGAAACAUAUUGGUGAAUGUCAGAGGCUCCAGACCAGCAUGGAUAAGAGUGCACCACCAUCCCCCCUUGGAAACACUGCAGGAAACAGGGCGGCUCCUUUCCCUGGAGAACCUGGACCUUCAGAUUUAAACAGGGAAAUAGGUACAUUUUCUCUGGGAUCAUCUUGCAAAAAGUGGGAGGAUGAAAGAAGUGGGAGGCACAGCCUGAAAUCUGCAGAAGCCAGACCAGGGCUGAAGUGCUUUGGGUGACGUGGUCUUCCAUUAUCAGAAUCAUGUUGGGAGGAACCAGGCCGAGCCGCCAUCAGCUCCUAGGAGAGGAUGCUCCUCUUGGUCCCUAGGGUGCAGAGCUCCCCAAGACUUACCUGGGCCCCCCUUUCCUCAUCCAGCUCCACCGUCAUCAGCGCCGAUGUGCCCUUCUCACUCACUGUCGAGUGCCGGCCUUGCCAGAAGAAGUAGACGCACUUCUCUUUGCCGGCCGCCCUCACCGAGUGCUCUCCCUUCUGGCGACUUCCCACUGCAAUCACAGAACGGCGGAGGGACAGGUCAGCAGCUGAGAUGCCCAAGGAGGAGCAAAUGUCCCUCUCACUUUCCCAGGGCCGGCGAGGACCAGCGGCAAAGAGACAGCCUGAGGCCUGGGGCUGGAGACAAACCACUGGCAAUGGAGGGAAGGGUGGCCGCGCCCAGCAGAAGAGAUAACCACCUUCCUUCCAGCUCCUGACCCAGAGUCUCCAACGUGAAGAAAAAGGAUCGGAGGGGCCUCCUGGUGCCCCGAGAAAACACCUGUCAUCCAGAGGGGGCGGCAGAUCACUUCAAGUGUGCAGCACAGCAAUUUCUUCAAACGAUGUGGUGAGGCCAGGUGUGGCCCUUUUGGGUGCAAGUGAUGGAGGAGCCAGACUAGUGUCACCAAGGGGCCAGAGCUUCCGCAUUGGCUACGGAGUGACCGCAGGUGCCAUCGGGCUGUGCUUCCCAGGGCUGGAGGGACGGUCUGGAAUCUGAAUGCUCCCUGCUCUAUCCUAAUUCUCUAAAAGCUGGACUUUGCAGAGUUGUGUCUGAUCAGCCUGCGCCUCCCGUGGCCCCGGGGCAGGUGCACGUGCACAGCAUGGGGGCUGUAAAGAGGCCGAAAGACUCUUCCGAGUUGACGUCACAGAGCUGUGACCUGCAUGCUGUCCUAAGUGGGAGGGGUGAGGAGCGCUGCGGGAAGGCUCCUCCUUGGCAAGGACAUGGAUGGUUUCUCCAGAGUUCACCUGACUCCCCCGUCUCCAGCUUCAAGCAUCCAGGAUGCUUAACUGCAGUGAGGGAAAGGCUACAGCUCCAGGAAGACUCUGGGAGGUCUGAACACCCAUGGCCACAACAGCACAUGGAUGCCCGAGAACAGGCGCAAACCAGACUCCUCACCUCCUGGAGUCGGGUUAGAACUGGAGGCCAGUCUGCUGUUCUACUCGCCACUUUUGCUGGGACCCGAACCAAGCCCCAAGGUUGAGACCUGGUCGCCGGGAUACCUUGUGCUGGGCAGGCUCCCCGGGGUUCUUCUCCUGCGGUCGCUUCAGUUCUGUCCAAUCCAGAAACUUCUCUUUGAACAAAAUCGUCUCAUUGUGUUCAAUCCAUCUUCAGUUGUGAAUCCGGCUCGGGAUACAAGACCCCUCAGAGCAGCCAGCCCUGCUGCUUCUGCCCUGCUGUGCCUCAGUUGCUUCCUGCUUGGUCAAGCCCACAGCUGCUGAUGUCACAGUUGAGGUACAUCAGAAAGGCUGUUGGAUUCAAAGAAAGCUGCAGGAUUAAUCAUAGAACACAGACACUUCUACCUCUUGUGAGACUUUAGGAACCGAACAUCAGCACCUAUGAAAAAUGCACAGCGGUCUUGAAAGGCUGCGGUCUUUAUCAGGAAUACCUGAAUGAGAGUCUCUUAUGUCAGUCCUCCUCUGCAGGCUUGCUAAGAUGACAGUCGGAAGGACUCUUGGCUUCUGCUUUAGAAUCUGUCGUCUAUGUUUUGAAGCAUGAGCAAGCGACGUACCAGAUUGCAGGGUGAGGGGUACGAACCUGGGGCAGGAGCCAGGUGUGUUUCCCCACCCCCUUCCCUGACUCACAGCUGGAACUGGGCUCAGUGGUUUCAGCCUCAUUUGCUAAGAAGGGCGGGGUGUGUAAUCCUGGCUGUACCUUAAAAUCCCUGGGAGCUUUUAAGACAUUGACACAAGCUCUAACUCACCUGAAUCAAAAACACAUCUCUGGGGCUGGGCUUAGCAAAUGCAUUUGUUUAAAGGCUUCUCAGGUGAUUUUCGCAGAGACAUUGAAAACCCGUGGGCUAGAAGCUCAUUCAGUCACUUUCAGCUGUGUGAUUAAGCCACUAUUAAACACAACUGGCA